AUUGAACGCUGGCGGCAGGCCUAACACAUGCAAGUCGAGCGAGCGGCGGACGGGUGCGUAAUGUUUGUGGACUGCCCGAUAGAGGGGGCUAACUACUGUAAACGGUAGCUAAUACCGCAUACUAUCUGAUAGCCCAUAUGGGAUGAGCUAGUAGGUGAGGUAAUGGCUCACCUCGGCGACGAUCCCUAGCUGUUCUGCGCGGAUGAUCAGCCACACGGGGACUGAGACACGGCCCAGAAUCCUACGGAGGCAGCAGUGGGGAAUAUUGCACAAUGGGCGCAAGCCUGAUGCAGCCAUGCCGCGUGUAUGAAGAAGGCCCUAGGGUUGUAACGUACUUUCAGUCGGGCGGCGUUACCGACAGAAGAAGCACCGGCUAACUCCGUUCCAGCCGCCGCGGUAAUAC
rnacentral:rRNA from 1 species